rnacentral:rRNA from 1 species
AAUCAACGCUGGCGGCGUGCCUCAGACAUGCAAGUCGAACGAUUAAAGCCCUCUUCGGAGAGUGCAUAGAGUGGCGCACGGGUGAGUAACACGUAAGUAAUCUACCUUCGAGUGGGGCAUAACGUCCGGAAACGGUCGCUAAUACCGCAUAAUGCAGCGGCAUCGCAAGAUGACCGCUGUUAAAGAUUUAUCGCUUGAAGAGGAGCUUGCGGCAGAUUAGCUAGUUGGUAAGGUAAUGGCUUACCAAGGCUACGAUCUGUAACCGGUCUUAGAGGACGGUCGGUCACACUGACACUGAAUAACGGGUCAGACUCCUACGGGAGGCAGCAGUCGGGAAUUUUGGGCAAUGGGCGAAAGCCUGACCCAGCAACGCCGCGUGAAGGAUGAAGUAUUUCGGUAUGUAAACUUCGAAAGAAUGGGAAGAAUAAAUGACGGUACCAUUUAUAAGGUCCGGCUAACUACGUGCCAGCAGCCGCAGUAACAC